UGAUGAUAGUGAGGGCAAUUUCUGAGCAUAUUUUUAAAUCUCUCCUAAGCUUGGUGGAGGUUCUCUCCUUCUUUCUAUCUGAAACUCAGAAUCUCGCUUCUCAGACA
rfam:Capsicum annuum cultivar Zunla-1 chromosome 1, whole genome shotgun sequence